rnacentral:rRNA from 1 species
CGCAAGCCUGAUCUAGCCAUGCCGCGUGUGUGAUGAAGGUCUUAGGAUCGUAAAGCACUUUCGCCAGGGAUGAUAAUGACAGUACCUGGUAAAGAAACCCCGGCUAACUCCGUGCCAGCAGCCGCGGUAAUACGGAGGGGGUUAGCGUUGUUCGGAAUUACUGGGCGUAAAGCGUACGUAGGCGGAUCAGAAAGUUAGGGGUGAAAUCCCGAGGCUCAACCUCGGAACUGCCUCUAAAACUCCUGGUCUUGAGUUCGAGAGAGGUGAGUGGAAUUCCAAGUGUAGAGGUGAAAUUCGUAGAUAUUUGGAGGAACACCAGUGGCGAAGGCGGCUCACUGGCUCGAUACUGACGCUGAGGUACGAAAGUGUGGGGAGCAAACAGGAUUAGAUACCCUGGUAGUCCACACCGUAAACGAUGAAUGCCAGUCGUCGGGCAGUAUACUGUUCGGUGACACACCUAACGGAUUAAGCAUUCCGCCUGGGGAGUACGGUC